GGCUGUGGUGAUGUUAGAAUUUGCUCCUAUUUUAGUGUCUUUAGUUAUUAGUUUCCUAGUUUCUUUGAUCCUGUUAGGCGUUAUUUUCAUUUUAUCUUCCAAUAGUUCGAUCUAUCCAGAAAAAUUGUUGCCCCGGUGCGGUAGAAUGUCUAAUUCUGUAGUAAGAAUUACAGUAAGAAUUACUAUUGUUUUAGUAUUGCUAUGUGUAUUCUAUUCAUUCUUUCGGCUAAUCGGCCUAGAUGUCACUUUUUUUGGAGGUGAACUAAUGUGUAGCCUUUUCAGCAAGGCUAUCUACUUCCUCUUUGCUCGCUUCGGCUACUUUGGUCUCCUAGUGGGGGCUCUUGUGAUGUCUGAGGAUAUGUGGGGCUGUUGCAACAUGAUGUCUCCAGAGGGAGCCAGUUCUGACAAAAACGUCAUAUCUUCAGCAUCCACAGGGCAAACCCCCUGUCCUCAGCCCCCUUUCGACCCGCAUGCAGGACCGUCUAGCCCGUCUAGCUCGGUGGUGAGCGUGCCGCAAGAUGAGCUCUGGGCGGCGCUGGACAAACGCCCCGACUCAAUCACUUCGAAUAGAAUAUUUCAAGCUCCGAGUCCCGGAGUCCCGGCAGAAGUUUUUGAAGUUUCGCCCAGUCCAGACCAAGAAGCGCAACUUCAGGCUGCGCCAUCCCUCCUAGCGGUAGAACAUCGAAUCUCAGAGGUUUUAUCUUCUUUUAAUCGCAUAACCAUGAGAUCGGAUAUUCUAAGCUCUGUUUAUGAUAAACUAGGGCUGAAAACUGCGAGUUCACAAAAACUUCACCACCUCAUGAACCAAUUAGAUAUACUUGAACAUUCUGAGGGGGACGAAAGGCCUAAAACCGGCGCCAAAGCAGCACAAAAGUUAAUCGAGGUUAUCAACGACUGGUGCAAGCAGAACCCCGGCCAAUAAUCUCCUACGAAUACUACCAACCCAAAGAAAUACGACCUCUCUGAGAUAUACAGUUUAUGCCGGAAAGGUACGAAGUUGGACUAAUUUGGAAACAUUGGGCAAUUUACUUUAUACCUACUAUUUCGUCUGGUUUUUGGUUUCUAGUCUUAUUUUAUUAGUAGCCAUGAUUGGGGCUAUAGUACUGACUUUUUUUUUCCAAAACCUUUCUUUUUUCGGUAUGCCGCUCCGCGAGCAAGGAGUGCCACGCACGAGCGGAGCGAAAACAAAGCAGGGGGAAUUCUUCGUUGGGGGAAAUCCUUUGAUUGCGUAUUGAAUAUAGAUCCAUGUCUUUCUUGUUCCACUAGCUAGGACCAAAUUCUCACAUGUUCGUUUCGUUAUUACAACCUUCUUUUUUGAUGUCAAAGACCAGAAGCUAUGCGCAAAUUCUCAUUGGAUCUUGGUUGUUCUUAACAGCGAUGGCUAUUUAUUUAAGUCUUUGGGUAGCACCACUAGAUUUUCAACAAGGUGGAAAUUCUCGUAUUCUGUAUGUACAUGUUCCUGUGGCUUGGAUGAGUAUUCUUGUUUAUAUCGCUACGGCUAUCAACACUUUCUUUUUCCUAUUAACAAAACAUCCCCUUUUUCUUCGCUCUUCCGGAACCGGUAUAGAAAUGGGUGCUUUUUUUACGUUGUUUACCUUAGUUACUGGGGGGUUUUGGGGAAGACCUAUGUGGGGAACCUUUUGGGUGUGGGAUGCUCGUUUAACCUCUGUAUUCAUCUUGUUUUUUAUUUACCUGGGUGCACUGUGUUUUCAAAAGCUUUCUGUCGAACUGGCUUCUAUUUUAAUCUGUAUUGGACUGAUCGAUAUACCAAUAAUCAAGUUUUCAGUCAACUGGUGGAAUACAUUGCAUCAACCUGGGAGCAUUAGCCGAUUUGGUACAUCAAUACAUGUUUCUAUGCUUAUUCCAAUCUUGUCUAACUUUGCUAACUUCCUCUUCUUAACCUGUAUUUUGUUUGUUCUGGAAACACGUCUUCUUAUUCUAUCUUUUCUCGAAUCUUCUUUAACGGAAGAAAUAGAAGCUCGAGAAGGAAUACCAAAACCUAGUUCACUCGCU
rnacentral:misc_RNA from 1 species